UACGGAGGGUGCAAGCGUUAUCCGGAUUCACUGGGUUUAAAGGGUGCGUAGGUGGGUCUGUAAGUCAGUGGUGAAAUCUCCAAGCUUAACUUGGAAACUGCCGUUGAUACUAUAGAUCUUGAAUGCUGUGGAGGUGAGCGGAAUAUGUCAUGUAGCGGUGAAAUGCUUAGAUAUGACAUAGAACACCAAUUGCGAAGGCAGCUCACUACACAGAUAUUGACACUGAGGCACGAAAGCGUGGGGAUCAAACAGG
rnacentral:rRNA from 1 species